rnacentral:pre_miRNA from 1 species
CACACGUUGCAUGGUAAUUAUUCGUCUGGUCACUCGUUCUUGCCACAAUUGUGGCAAGAACGAGUGACCAGACUAAUAAUUACCAUGUAACGUGUGUUU